UGGGGAAUAUUGGGCAAUGGGGGAAACCCUGACCCAGCAACGCCGCGUGAAGGAAGAAGGCCUUCGGGUUGUAAACUUCUUUUACCAGGGACGAAGAAAAUGACGGUACCUGGAGAAAAAGCAACGGCUAACUACGUGCCAGCAGCCGCGGUAAUACGUAGGUUGCAAGCGUUGUCCGGAUUUACUGGGUGUAAAGGGCGUGUAGGCGGAGAUGCAAGUUGGGAGUGAAAUCCCGGGGCUCAACCCCGGAACUGCUUUCAAAACUGUAUCCCUUGAGUAUCGGAGAGGCAAGCGGAAUUCCUAGUGUAGCGGUGAAAUGCGUAGAUAUUAGGAGGAACACCAGUGGCGAAGGCGGCUUGCUGGACGACAACUGACGCUGAGGCGCGAAAGCGUGGGGAGCAAACAGG
rnacentral:rRNA from 1 species